CCUCAGUCUUAACCCUGGUUAAUGCACCUCAGGGCCCCUGGUGUCUGGGGUUGUUGAUGGUGUAUCCACUUCCUGCAGUGUUGGAGGGUGUGGUGGCGACGGUGUGCAAUGGGCGUACAUUGGCGGCUGGUGGGAGGAGCAGGCAGGCCCUGGCAGUAAUACAACCUCUUAAAGCAAGCCUGCCUACGCGCAGGAAGGCCCGAAAUCGGGCGAUGACUUUCAUUUGGGAGUGUAUCUGCAAACAAUGACUCAGGCUCUCUGGAGGAUAGAGCUUUAGUCCCAGACCCGUCAUCAGGAAACGGAGAAAAACAAUCACUAGCUAAAGCAGCCGGGCUUUCGUCCUCCUAGACUGCACUUUCCCUAUCAGCCCAGUUUGGAGACUUUGGCCAAGGAACAGAAGUCCCCAGACAAGUGCUAUCAGCAUACAUGGCACUUUCAAGAGAAUGGCAGUUCAGGUCCCAGCCCCAGCGAGCAUACAAUCCAGUUAUCAACGGAAGGCAACGGAGGAAGCAGAAGGGAAGGGAGUAGAGGUGUCGUUUCCCCCAUGGUAUAAAUAAGCCCUGUUGUUGGCCAGGAGGAUAUCUCAGGGUUGUUGUUGUUUUAAGUCAAGUUUGUAGUUCUCAUGGUAACAGGGAUGAUGUAUUCUGGAAACGGACUGGCAGCAGCAUUCAGAACGAGAAUAGCUGGCUGCCCCUCUCCUGGACCUAGAGCUGUUUUCUCCUACCCGGCUGCUGCCCAUUGCUUCCUGCCACCACACCUUACUCUCUGCAAACCCAGGUCACCACCACCGUGACCCGUCCCAAACCUUACACAAAGCUUGCAUGAAUAUGAUCAUCAACCGUCAUCACCAUCAUCCCGCCUUGCAAGACAGCUCAACAAAGCAACACUUAAAAUGUGGCCAGUAAAUUCAGAAUAAAAUGGUUUGAUUUUCAUUUUA